AAAAAAAAAAAAAAAACUUAAAAUCAAUUUUUAAUACCAUUUAACUAACAUAUUUAAGAAGCUACUUUUCUCAAAUGGCAUCUCUUAUUGAGGACACCAGGGGAUGCUAGCAUCCACCUUAAUUCGCCAAUGAAAAACUGAAGAUCUCAAGAUUGAAGAUGCACAUACUCUCUUGUCAAGAUACAUGAAUAUAUCUCAACUACAAGCAGGCAAUAAAUCAUUUAUUCUGAACGCCAUUUCAUAAACUCAAAAAGGAAAAAUCAUUUGUUGAAUUUCCAUAAUGUUACUAAUCUACUUGACAGAAACGUUGAUGUUUCUCUCACCGAAAUGAUUACCCAGCUAGGCUAACAUAAACACUAUUAUGUCAACAUACCUUAACCAGAGUCAGCCAUGUGCUUGGUCUUCCUGGGUUGUGACUUCUUCUAGAUGUACAUUUUCUAACCCUUUUAUGCCACUGUCAAUUGCUGGUGUAUUGUGCUCAGGGGAAGCAAUUUCAGUAUUUAUCCCAUGAAGCUGAGAACUGUCUGUUUCAUCAUUUUCUGAAGCAUCAGAAUGUGAGUCCUUGCUGGCAUUGAAGGAAGCAGUAGAAGUCAGGGCUGGUUGUGGCGCUACUGAGGGAUGACUCCCUCCUGUCCAAAGUGAAGGCAUCCUCUUGUCAUCCUCCUUCAUCCUCUCA
rnacentral:misc_RNA from 1 species